AAUACUAGGUAAAUUGAAACGGAGAAGUACCUAAAGUACUUUCGAAUAAUUUGGGGAAAAUUCUCAAAGCACAAACACAAGGUUCUUUACUCGUUCAUAGCAAAAAUUGAGAGCUCAAAUUUGUGCUACUCAAAUGGAAUCCAAGGAAGAUGGAGGCUUCCAUAUACACCCAGAUCUGGAAAAACCCACAAACCAUUCUCAACUACCUUCAACUUCAAUGAAAAAUUCAGUCUUGAUGACAAUCCCUGUGUUGCCAGCAGAACUCAUCACUGAAAUCCUCUCAAGGGUACCAGUGAAAUCGCUUUUGAAAUUCAGGAAGUGAAAGUUGCUCACUGCCGACUGCUUGAAUCAGAACAGUGAAGAAUGGCUUUUCCCGGCUCUCAAUGUUCAUCGAAUGUACUCUUACUUCGUUGUAGCUUGAACAGGUCAUGAACAAGGUCGAAAAUUCUUCUCCUUCUCCUGUAUUACUUUUGUAUUUUGAGAUUGGUCAGAACUACAUAUUGAAUCUUCUCAGAAAUAGAAUUGGUAGACUACCAAUUCUGAAGGAACUGAAGUUACAUCUCUUUUCCAUUCAAUCGUUCUUAUGCAUUUCCAGAAAUAAUUGGUAUUCUUCAUAUGUUAAAAAUAACAUGUAAAAGUGAAAAGUUUAUUUUUGAAAUAAUGGAUAACUAAAAGUGAA